GACCUCGGCAGGACGUGGAACGGCGACCGCGUCGACGCCGAGGUGCGGCGGCGCUUCGGCGUGACGCUGCGGCUGAUCGUGCUCGGCCUCGUGCUCG
rnacentral:tRNA from 1 species